rnacentral:rRNA from 1 species
UACGAAGGGGGCGAGCGUUGUUCGGAUUUACUGGGCGUAAAGGGCGCGCAGGCGGCCAUUCAAGUCAGGCGUGAAAGCCCCGGGCUUAACCUGGGAGGUGCGUCUGGGACUGGGUGGCUAGAGAUCGGGAGAGGAGAGUGGAAUUCCUGGUGUAGCGGUGAAAUGCGCAGAUAUCAGGAGGAACACCAAUGGCGAAGGCAGCUCGCUGGGACGUGACUGACGCUGAGACGCGAAAGCGUGGGGAGCAAACAGG